GCUGCCGUGUGGAUUUUUGUUUGUUUUGCUUGUCAUACAGCCCGUGUGAAAAGAGAGACCAAGAAACUGACAAGAGAAAAGGAGGAUCUUCAGAAGAAUUAU